AGCGAACGUUAGCGGCAGGCUUAACACAUGCAAGUCGAGCGACAAAGGGGCUUCGGCCCUGAGUAGAGCGGCGGACGGGUGCGUAACACGUGGAUAAUCUGCCUCGUGGCGGGGGAUAACAGUCCGAAAGGACUGCUAAUACCGCAUGUCAGGUCGGAAACCCCGGUUUCUGACGAAAAGAGGGCGCCCGCAAGGGGCUCUCACCACGAGAUGAGUCCGCGGCCCAUCAGCUAGUUGGCGGUGUAAUAGACCACCAAGGCUAAGACGGGUAGCUGGUCUUAGAGGAUGAUCAGCCACACUGGAACUGAGACACGGUCCAGACUCCUACGGGAGGCAGCAGUGGGGAAUCUUGCGCAAUGGGCGAAAGCCUGACGCAGCGACGCCGCGUGGGUGAUGAA
rnacentral:rRNA from 1 species